rnacentral:rRNA from 1 species
ACGCUAGCUACAGGCUUAACACAUGCAAGUCGAGGGGAAACGACAUCGAAAGCUUGCUUUUGACGGGCGUCGACCGGCGCACGGGUGAGUAACGCGUAUCCAACCUGCCCAUCACUUGGGGAUAACCUUGCGAAAGUAAGACUAAUACCCAAUGAUAUCUCUAGAAGACAUCUGAAAGAGAUUAAAGGUUUAUCGGUGAUGGAUGGGGAUGCGUCUGAUUAGCUUGUUGGCGGGGUAACGGCCCACCAAGGCGACGAUCAGUAGGGGUUCUGAGAGGAAGGUCCCCCACAUUGGAACUGAGACACGGUCCAAACUCCUACGGGAGGCAGCAGUGAGGAAUAUUGGUCAAUGGGCGAGAGCCUGAACCAGCCAAGUAGCGUGCAGGAUGACGGCCCUAUGGGUUGUAAACUGCUUUUAUAAGGGAAUAAAGUGAGUCUCGUGAGACUUUUUGCAUGUACCUUAUGAAUAAGGACCGGCUAAUUCCGUGCCAGCAGCCGCGGUAAUACGGAAGGUCCGGGCGUUAUCCGGAUUUAUUGGGUUUAAAGGGAGCGUAGGCCGGAGAUUAAGCGUGUUGUGAAAUGUAGAUGCUCAACGUCUGCACUGCAGCGCGAACUGGUUUCCUUGAGUACGCACAAAGUGGGCGGAAUUCGUGGUGUAGCGGUGAAAUGCUUAGAUAUCACGAAGAACUCCGAUUGCGAAGGCAGCUCACUGGAGCGCAACUGACGCUGAAGCUCGAAAGUGCGGGUAUCGAACAGGAUUAGAUACCCUGGUAGUCCGCACGGUAAACGAUGGAUGCCCGCUGUUGGUCUGAAUAGGUCAGCGGCCAAGCGAAAGCAUUAAGCAUCCCACCUGGGGAGUACGCCGGCAACGGUGAAAC